UUUUUUUCUUUCUUUUCAUUUUAUUAGGUUAAUAAAACUUGUUUUCCAAGCUUUUGGUGGGGGGAUCCCAGGAGUGCAAUCAUCCUUGAUGUCAAAUUCAUCAGGUACCUAAUGAAAGGACUUUGGAGGUCUCUACUACAUCUGUACCUGAAGUUCUUGGUGUCUCAUAAAGUUAGUGACUUUGCCAACUUCCUGGAGGUUCAUGUCGGAUUCUGUAAAAGGACUGCAUUUCCUUUUGGAAUGGGGACUGGGAGAGAGAGGCAGCAGAAGCCCGGGUUCACCAGCAAAUUCAUUCAGUUGCACUCCAGUAGAAGCAGAGAUGGUAGUGGAUCAUGGAAGAAACCAGAAAAGAUUCCCUAAGAAGAUGACUAACCAAAUAUUAAUAUCCAUUGUAUCUGGAAUACCAGUGAUGUCACCAUGUGGACACUCUUUGGAAUGGCACAGGUGGAAACCUUUCUCUGCCACUUGGAGAUGACUUUAUAAGCAACUCUGUUCACCAAAAAAUCAUCCCCUGGAGCCCAAGCCUUCUGGUAAUGAAUGUUCCCACACUUGAUUUGACUGGACUUCCUUCUGAUGUCAUAGAAUCUACUCUGAUUGGCUCUUAACUGUCAUACCUUCAAGAACUUAGAUGGCUUCUAAGGAGUAUGCUGGAUAGAUCUCAAUGGAGUGGCUUGGGAGAGCUGAUUGUUAAAAUUCAGAGUGAAUAUUUGUAGCUGAAAAAUCAGCAAAUGUUACAAACUGAGACUUGAUUUGUUGUGUUGUUGUGUUUGGAAUUUCAAAAGUGACAGAGAAAAUGAAAACACUGCAGAUUAACUUUAAAAAUGUUUCUGCAUGAAUUAAUUUCUAGAGAGUUGGUUUGUCAACAUUUACCACUACAACAGCCCCUUAGCCAUAAUGAAAUACCUCUGCAAGAUGUAAGAGGAAGACAAGUGUUAGCUCAAACUGCAUCCACAUCCUCCUUUUCACUUUCUUCAGACCAUGAGCUUAUGUAUGAGUAGCCGUUGGCCACAUGCACCAUAACUAUAAUUAAAUGGGAAAUUAGAUGGCUUAGAUGGAAAUUUAGGGGGGGGGAAAGGAUCCUCUUGAGUCAUUAAAUGGGAAGGAGGGUUUAUCCGGAGAGAUUUUUUUUCCUCACUUAAAUUCUGGAUCUUCUAUAAUAUGAAAGGAGUUUGUAUGGCAUUGAAUCUGUCCAAAUUAAUCAGUGCUAAUGUAUUGAAAGAAAAAGAGGGAAAUGUGAAUUAAGAAGCCAUGAGUUCUAGUCUCAUACUGGCAUUGACAUAAACUAAUUAUAAGACAUAAGCAAGCCAUCUCCCUUCUCAGGACCUUAGUAUCCACCUCAAUAAAUGAGAGUUAUAUAAUCCCUACA
rnacentral:lncRNA from 1 species